rnacentral:rRNA from 1 species
UACGAAGGGGGCUAGCGUUGCUCGGAUUGACUGGGCGUAAAGGGCGCGUAGGCGGAUAGUACAGUCAGGCGUGAAAUUCCUGGGCUCAACCUGGGGGCUGCGUUUGAUACGUGUUGUCUGGAGUUCGGAAGAGGGUCGUGGAAUUCCCAGUGUAGAGGUGAAAUUCGUAGAUAUUCGGAAGAACACCAGUGGCGAAGGCGACUUACUGGACGAUUGUUGACGCUGAGGUGCGAAAGCGUGGGGAGCAAACAGG